GUACUAAUGAAGAGUCCCAAAAUAGAACGGAGGAAACAAUUGUCCAGUAC
rnacentral:hammerhead_ribozyme from 1 species